UACGAAGGGGGCUAGCGUUGCUCGGAAUCACUGGGCGUAAAGGGCGCAUAGGCGGCCAUUCAAGUCGGAGGUGAAAGCCCAGGGCUCAACCCUGGAAUUGCCUUCGAUACUGUCUGGCUAGAGACCGGAAGAGGUAAGUGGAACUGCGAGUGUAGAGGUGAAAUUCGUAGAUAUUCGCAAGAACACCAGUGGCGAAGGCGGCUUACUGGUCCGGUUCUGACGCUGAGGCGCGAAAGCGUGGGGAGCAAACAGG
rnacentral:rRNA from 1 species